AGUGAACGCUGGCGGUAGGCCUAACACAUGCAAGUCGAACGGCAGCACAGUAAGAGCUUGCUCUUACGGGUGGCGAGUGGCGGACGGGUGAGGAAUACAUCGGAAUCUACUUUUUCGUGGGGGAUAACGUAGGGAAACUUACGCUAAUACCGCAUACGACCUACGGGUGAAAGCAGGGGAUCUUCGGACCUUGCGCGAUUGAAUGAGCCGAUGUCGGAUUAGCUAGUUGGCGGGGUAAAGGCCCACCAAGGCGACGAUCCGUAGCUGGUCUGAGAGGAUGAUCAGCUAGACUGGAACUGAGACACGGUCCAGACUCCUACGGGAGGCAGCAGUGGGGAAUAUUGCACAAUGGGCGCAAGCCUGAUCCAGCCAUACCGGGUGGGUGAAGAAGGACUUCGGGUUGUAAAGCCCUUUUGUUGGGAAAGAAAAGCAGCAGGUUAAUACCCCGCUGUUCUGACGGUACCCAAAGAAUAAGCACCGGCUAACUUCGUG
rnacentral:rRNA from 1 species